ACGGGUCCCUCUCCGCCCGGGGGCGGAAUGAGGAAGUCCCCUGUCUCCUGGCCAAGGUAAUGGAGACGAGGCCAAACACAAAACACCCGGGGCGCAGCUGGAGCUCUUCCUGUUGGCAAAUGCUUUACAUGAGAUCGCUUGAACCACUGAACAGGAAACUGGUCAUCUGACCAGACCCGUGGGAAUCGGGAGAUGCAGGAGGCGGAGACGACGCUGCGGGACCGUCUGACAAACGCAGAACCGGGGCGUUUCCGGGAAGACGGGCCGUGUCUCCAAAAAGCCCGAGCUGUACCUCAUGGCGCUUAGACUCCGGAGCGAAAGGACUGGUCAGGUGUGGACCCGCCCAGACCCCCUUGGAAGCACAGACCUGCCCUUCCCGAAGGAGGACCGAGAUGGGGUGAACCAUCCGUCUCCCAGGCCAGGAGCCGGGUUCCGAGCAAGGCCACCGUGAAGCGAACGCCAUCGGUCCUUCGGGGGUGGCGGGAAACAGCUGUAAAUGCGGUUUUCCCAAAGCUGCUCUCCGGAGGCGUCUCAGCCGAAGCCGGACGGGUUCUUUCCGCUCCCCGUCCUGCACUCUCCUUCUAGCUGCUGCUUUGCGGGAGUUCGUGGAAAGCCUUGUGUGGGUGGUAGAGUGGGCCAUCCUUUGGGGGUCCCUACGGGGUGGAGGGUCUGUAGUCAGAUGUAGGACCCUGUCGCCCCGCCACGGGCCUCCCCAGCUGUUGGUGCGUGGUGAGUCAUUAAGGCUCAGUAGAAUGCCCUCAACUUUGAAUAUUCAAGAAAUAAAACACCGCGGGGUUUAUGCCGAUGGA